CUUCUGUACACGGCCAUGCCCUCAAGCACCGUCUCUUCCAGACCACUGGAAUUCCCCCAAACCACCAGCGUCUUGUAACUGGUAUCCGCCAGAUCGAGGAUGAUUCGGUUGUAUCAUGUUCCGGUGGAAGAUUUCCCACUGUCUAUCUUCUGCUCCGGCUCCUGGGAGGCAAGGGAGGGUUUGGAUCGUUGUUGCGUGGGGCGGCGACGAAAGCGGGGCAAAAGAAGACGAAUAAUUUCGAUGCUUGUAGGGAUAUGAGUGGGAGAAGGUUGAGGCAUGUGAAUGCUGAGAAGCGAUUGGAG
rnacentral:misc_RNA from 1 species